AUGACAAAGGGCAAGCGGGUGAUCAACUUCUCAAGUAGUCUGCAGGCGAACGUACAUGAAGUAACACACACUCCACGCUGGGAGGCUCCUCAAGCAGAUCAUGCAAAACUGAACAUUGAUGGUUCUUUUCUGAAGGAAGAUGGAACGACUGGAGCUGCUAUGCUCUUGCGGGAUCAUGAAGGUGCUGUGAUCUUCGCAGCGACAAGGGUGCUCUUCAAUUGCGGUGACCCCCUAGAGGCUGAAGUGGCGGCGAUGGAAGAAGGGUUUCGGCUUGCCCUCCAAUGGCCGGACAUAUCGUUGAUUGUUGAGACGGAUUGUGCCGAGUUGUUGAAGAUGAUGCAACCUAAAGAUACUGACCGUUUGAGGCAUGCAUUUCGUAUUAAUGAGAUGAGAAGAAAGGAACAUUAG
rnacentral:rRNA from 1 species